rnacentral:rRNA from 1 species
GUGCAGCAGCCGCGGUAAUACGUAGGGAGCAAGCGUUGUCCGGAUUUACUGGGUGUAAAGGGUGCGUAGGCGGCUAUGCAAGUCAGUUGUGAAAACUAUGGGCUCAACCCAUAGCCUGCAAUUGAAACUGCGUAGCUUGAGUGAAGUAGAGGUAGGUGGAAUUCCCGGUGUAGCGGGGAAAUGCGUAAAGAUCGGGAGGAACACCAGUGGCGAAGGCGACCUACUGGGUUUUAACUGACG